rnacentral:lncRNA from 1 species
GGGGGGGAGGCAUCGCAAGGGGGGGAGGCAUCGCAAGGGGGGGAGGCAUCGCAAGGGGGGGAGGCACCCCAUGCGAGGCGGGGACUGAGAACCAGCCCCUCUACCCCCCGUGGCUCUUAGGAGCCCGAUCGCGGGUGAGGGAAGCACCCCCCGCGAGGCGGGGACUGAGAGCAAGCCCCUUUUCCCCCCCUGGCUCUUAGAACAACCAACGCAGAGGGGGGAGGCACCCGCUGUGAGGCAUGAACUGAGAGCCAGACCCACUUCCCCCCAGCUCUUGGGAUCCCCAUCACAGGGGGGAGGCACCCCACAUGAGGCGGGGACUGAGAGACAGCCCCUCUGCCCCUCCUGGCUAUUAGGACCCCCGUCGCACAGGGGGGAGGGACCCCCCAUCGCACGGGGGAGAGGGACCCCCCGCGAGGCAGGGACGGAGAGCCUGCCGCUCUUCCCCCCGUGGCUCAUAGGACCCCCAUCGCAGGCGCUUGGCACCCCACGCGAGGCGGGUACUGAGAGCCAGCUCCUCUUCACCCCGGGUCUCUUAGGACUGCCAUCGCAGGGGGGUAGAGGUACCCCAUGCAAGGCGGGGACUGAGAGUCAGCCCCUCUUCACCUCUCGCUCUUAGGCCCCCAUCGCGGGGGGGGAGGCACCCCAUGCGAGGCGGGGAUUGAGAGCCAGCCCCACUUCCCCCCUGACUCUUGGGACCACCAUCGCAGUGGGGGCAGGACCCCCACCGCGGAUUCUAAGAUCCUUAGCACCCACCUGGAGGACUGUGGGUUUUAGGUGUCCAAGAAGAAAGCUCAGAUCUGCCGACGGCAGGUACCUUACUUGGGAUUUUCUAUACGACAGGGGUCCGAACGCAGCCCGGGAUCAGAAAGAAAGCAGGUCGUUUGCAAUCUACCGGAGCCUAAGGGCAGAAGGCAGGACCGUGGGAACAAUAUGCCAGGGGGAUUUCCACUUUCUGCCAUAUAUGUAGUCACAUCACCCACUCUGCUUUGGAAUAUUAUUAAGGACCAUCUAACACGAGGGUGUAUACGUCCUGCAAUACUACGAGUAAUAUCAACUUCUUGGCCUCUGAAUAUGAGGAAGAAUAUCACAGGGUGGGUGUACACCUCGUGCUCUAUUAUGCGGAGUCAUAUCUGUCUAUUAUGGGGAGUAAUAUCAUUCUCUCCCUUUCAGGAUAUUAAUAACAAUUUCACAGGCUGGGUGAACACAGCCGGCAAUGCUGAAAUUAUUAUCAUCCUCUCCCCAUCUUCCCCUCCUGGCUCUUAGGACCCCCAUCGCAGGGGGCUGAGGCACCCCCCGCGAGGCGGGGACUGAGUGCCAGCCCCUCUUCCCUAGCCCCUUCGUCAGGGCUGAGAGAAUUUUGAGCGCUAGCCGUCUCUCGAUCGCUGGCUAAUAAAGAACUCCUGAAUUAGUCUCAAAGUGUGGCGUUCCUCUAUUACCCGCUUGGUUACAACAGCUUUAUAUUAAUAAUUGUAGUAAUAAAGUUGAUCGCACAUAGGAUGGAGGAGGCACCUGCCUGGUGAGAUGAGACAAUGGUCGGAUUCACUGAGGCUCCUGCGUGUCCCGGAUUUCCCGCUGGGGGAGGGUGUUCUGCUCAGCGGUUCCCACACCUGCUUCCAUGGGAGAAGCAAGAAGUCAGAAGGGUGGGCGAAGGAGUCAGAAGCUUCUAUUAUUGGUUCGGGGAGAUGCUGUGU